rnacentral:lncRNA from 1 species
UUACUUCCCUAAUUAAAUUUAUCUUAGGCAACCAUUCAAAAACAGCGUCUUUAGCAUAAAGGGACAGAUGGCCAGAGUUCUACCUCCCUUCCCUGGCCGAAGGAGCUGAGUCCAAGAAAAGGUGGGCUGGGUAGGAAUAAUUGUUAUGCAAAUUACCCUUUGGUAAAAUUCCUGGAAUGAAAUGAUUUCAUGAGGAUGAGAUAAUAAGGCAAAGAAUAUGAAUCCCAGACUCCUCACACUAGAGCUCAGCUAAAGACUGUUGGGGAUAUUAAAUACGAUAAUGUGGCUGUGUGUGGUGGCUCAUGCCUGUAAUCCCAGCACUUUGGGAGGCUAAGAUGGGUGGAUCACUUG